rnacentral:rRNA from 1 species
AUAUCAAUAAGCGGAGGAAAAGAAACCAACAGGGAUUGCCCUAGUAACGGCGAGUGAAGCGGCAACAGCUCAAAUUUGAAAUCUGGCUUCGGCCCGAGUUGUAAUUUGUAGAGGAUGCUUUUGGCAAGGUGCCUUCUGAGUUCCCUGGAACGGGACGCCAGAGAGGGUGACAGCCCCGUAUGUGGUGCCUUUGCCUAACGAGCCCCUUCCUACGAGUCGGGUUGUUUUGAAUUGCAGCCCNUAGCGGGAGAUAGACUUCUUCUAAGGCUAAAUAUCUAUGGGAAACCGAUAGCGAACAAGUACUGUGAAGGAAAGAUGAAAGAACUUUGAAAGAGAGUUAAAGACUUGAAUCGUGAGAAAGGAAGCGGUAGAAAUUAUUUCUUCGCCGUGGAAAGAUGGCGCUUGCCUAACCAUUGACCCGUGCCAGCACUGCGUAAGGCUGCUAGGGCCACCUGGGGAAGCGACAGCCGGUUUCCGCGGCGUGAGGCAAGAUGAGGUUCCGCAUCCACACAAGCUUGGCCGACCUGGGCUGCUUCGGCAGUCAGUCUCCCUGUGCUCGUGGGCGCGGAGCCUGAGGGGCUUUGUGCGAUCUUGCCAAAAUGGUUUUUACCGA